GUUUAAAUUGCACACACGCAGCUGCCUUGCUGUAGUGUUACAGAUGUGAUACUGGUAUCCCAUGUGAGCCGGCUGGGUGUGCUGAGCCUGGUCCACCCCUCUGCUUGGGAUUUUCAAAUCCAGAGUGAUUGUUUAAAUUCUCAUUAUUACAGACUGAAGUACGGGCUUCUAGUUUCCCAAUUGAGUGACUCUUCACUGAGGUCUGAAAGCAGGCCCCAGGCUUUAGCUGUAGCAGCUAAUCCUUGCUACUGAAUAAUGGGUGACUUUACAUAGCAAAUAUGUUACAAGAUCUGAGGUCAGUGGAUGGGAAUGAAGAGCCAGAAAGAAGGUUUAUCACUUCUCUCUGCUUCCCAUGACAAGCCAAGUAGCAGGAGCCAAAUUUGAGCACCAUUACAGAGCAUGUACCAUAGUACUCACUUUCUGGUGAGUUACUGCUGUCAAAGUUCACAGUGCAGUAUUUUCAAGGAGUUUUUAGCUGUGGGAAUCAGACUAGUAGAUGUGGCCUUUCUGUUUUUAGACUUAAUUAGUUGGUGUGCAUUUACUUUUGCAGUCUUCUGGUACUGGAUGAAAAUGCAGGCAUGGUGCAGCAAAACACCAUGCUUGGGGUAUUUCUUCCCUUCAAAUAAUCAUUCUCCUGUUUGCCAGCAGCACUGUUUACAGCCUGAAGAUUGCAGACAGAUGUGUUCAUUCAGUGUGAAUUUCCAGGCAGUUUUCAACCUUUCCUUUAUUUUGAAGUGCCAUGGGAAAAAUAAUCCCUGUUUUUGUAUGCUGGUUUUCAUGUAUGCAGUUGCAAAUGUUGGGAGCCAAGAAUGCGAAGGAUCCAAACCUACAGUAAGUAGGUCAAUCUUGAAAUGCUGUCACGUGUUUGGGCUUUUGCUUUUUUUUUUUUUCCCCUUUGGUGAGGCAGCAGAACGUAAGGGUUGAGUUAAGAGGCAGAAAACAGAAGUGCAACUGAGUCCUCUCUCCAGUUUUUUCUCAUUAGCGUCUAGAAAAUGGUAGACCUCAAAGUGAGAUUCAUUAAGAAUGAGCUAACAAGCAAGUUCCAGUUGUGAGCCAGGUUCUAUACUGCUUACCUGUUGCAUUCUGAAACUACCACUGUUUUAUUCCAACAUAUUCAGGCAAGUGUGUUCCAGGACCUGAGUCAUGGUAUCCCAGGGCGGCGCUGACUCUGCAAGCUAAAACAGGAGCAGCAAGCAGUAAUUGCAUCCACUUGGUUACUGGAGUGAGAGGCUUGGAGUCUGAAUUCAGUGGUGAUCUGGGAAGCCCGAGUGUUCCAUGCACAGGCCGAUCCCACGACCCCUGAGGAUGUCGGCACCGAUGGGAACGCAUCGCAGCCCUCCCCAGCAGCAGUCCCCACAGGGGCGCUCCCUGUGCACCUCAGAGGAGCCAAUGCUGUAAAUCCCAUCCUGGUGGUCUGUUGUCACACCUUGCCCCUGGGAUGAGGGGAUGCUGGAGCCCUGAUCCUGACACAGCGGUAACUGCACUGCAGGACAUGCUGAGCCCCGGAAAUUUGGGCUGGAAGGGCUCUUUGGGACUCUGCUCAGAGGCACUUGCAAGAUUCACAGACUGAUUGGAGGACAGCCCACCUCUGACCAUCUCUGUGUUUAUAAAUCCUGUUUGGACUAACGUGAUAUUCAGGGGAACGCAGGUCUUGACCACACACACUGUCAACACAGGACCUUGGACUUGAACUUUGUGCCUCGGACUUCAGCUUUGUGAGCCCUCAGACAGCCCUUCUGCAGCUGCAUCAGGCCACACACAGUCACAGCUCUCAGCUGGGAGACGACAGGCACAAAGCUGGCACUGGCUCUGUGAUUACUUCUCUGCAAAGUCAAACAGGGCCAAAAAUAAAUGCUAGUGAAGGAAUAAACAGACGUGAAAAGAAGGCUUGGACACUUGGAGGACAAGACUGCUUUGUGUUUCCCAAAGCAAUAAGCCUCUUCACAAGGAGGUUACUCUUUCAGAAAAACACGGGUCCUGUGACACUGCCAAGGUCAGUAGGUGCCCAGCAGAGCAGGGAGCAUUCAAGGCAGACGUGGUUUGGGAAAGGGGCAUAUUUGCUCCCAUUGAAAGAGGAGAGAGGAGAGAAAUUUACAUUGCUCUGCCAUUUCAGCUCUUUCUACAGGGUUUGAACACGCACCAGUUUGGCAGCAGAAGGCAGCUUCCACCUAUCUCAGAUGGCAACGUAGCCCCAGCACUGUGGCUGUAUCACUCGCAUGCUGGCUUGGGAAGAGGGCAGUGCUGCUGCAGUUCUGCAGCUGAGGAGGCAGAAGUCCCUUGUGGACGUGGCUCUCUUCUUGUGCUGGUGCUGUACGAGCACUCUAAGCUAGGCCUCUGCUACCUGUCGGCGUGUCUCGGACCGGUCAGCUGCAGUCUGGAUGGGCUUUGCUUUCUGCAGGAAAUAGGCAGAAUUCAAAGCAAAUAGCUUGGUACAGACACCUUGCUUUCUGGUAAGCAUAAUUGGUUAGCAAAGUGCUGCAGUGAUCUCAGUGGGGGUAGGAAGCUUUGGACUUCACUUUAGGGACUUAACUCAUUCUCCAUCCAGUGCAGUAUCUUUUGAAAUGUGACUUUUUAGGCUCUUUAUUGUCUCAGUUGGCUACAGAAUGAAAAUGCUGGGUAAUAUUGAGCAAUGAUAAGAUGAUACAGAGUCUGUCUCCUGCACAAAGGGAAGUGCAGUUCUUUCGCUGUCUCUAAAGCACCAAGUUGUGAGUCAUCCAAAGCAUCUGAGGACUCUGGGUAAGAAACAUGAGCUUUUAAAGGCACCUCAUUAGGACUGAAUCUUCAGCACCGUCUGUAGUGACACACCAAAACAUACUCAUCUCAAAGAGGGCAAAUGUUGAGAAGUUAAGGGAGCUAAUUAGUGGAAUCAGCUGCACUGCAGAUCUGAGGAAUUGAAUGUGAUGGAACUUGGAUUCCAAAACCAGCUGAAACAUGCAGGAAGAUGAACCCUGACAGGAAAUGCUCCAACCCCAGUGGGAUAAAUAACCAGCCCCAAACACGUGGAGAGCAUUAACUGACAUGCAGAAGUUCUGAUUGGCAUGAGGGUAUUCUGCUGGCAUGCAGCUAAGGAUUGAAAUCAGAUGUCUGGAGAGGAACUGCUACAGAAUACGAUGCUCUGCUCUGCUCUGCUCUUUGAUGGAGGCCAUCACUCUUAUCACAGGGCUGACAAAGCAGCUUACCCUGCAGGUCCUGAACAGCCACCACUCCAGUGACGUGUUCAGUGCAGCAGUUCUGGACCUGCCUUAUGAGUUACUGCCACUGCCACAAGGAUGGCAUUGGAGAAGAGUGGUGGAGCAGAAGACUGAAGGCAGUAUUUGCCUCAGUCAUCCAAUUUGAAGCUGCUGGGAUGGGAAAGGCAGAGACAGGAUGAAAAAUGUCAAAAGUGAACUUGUGAAUUGGACUUGAAAAGGAAAUUAGAACAGAUGGCAGAGGGUUUCAGCUAGAGAAAUAAAAAGAGGAGAAACGUGGUCAUUAUGGAGUGAGAAUGGGGUUGAGAUUAAGACCCAUCCACAUAUGGUCUAAAAAUGAAUUAAAAACACUUUGUCCACAUUUUCAGUAGAGAUGAUCGUAUUGAGCAGUGGGACAAAGACAAGAUUUCUAGUGGGAAUAUACAUAAGGGAAUGAAAAUUAUCACAUGUAAGGUGGAAGGAAAAGCAUGAAGAAUUCGGUGUGCUCAGGUGAAGGUGCACUGGCAGAUUUCCAUCCCAGGAUUUGGCACAUUAAAUGAGUUCAGCUUAACCUGAUAUUUCUCUUUGAUGACUGAUUAUUUUUUUAGGCAAAUGAAAUACAGGUGAUUUACUCUAUCCAGAAUCUGAUAUUAUACCACAGGGGAAAUUACUCGUUGAAGUUGAGAUGAUGGGGAUUAGUGUGGAUGGUGAAUGCAAACCUGUUAAAGUGCAGAGGAAAGGGGAGCUCUGAGCAGAGAAGAAAUGCCAGACAGAGGCAGUCAGUAAGUGGAACUCCUCAGGAGUCAGUGUUGAGCUCACUCUUGCUUCUUUCAUUAACGAGUCUGGCACAGCAGUAGGAAUGUAGUAAAGAAAUCUGCUGAGGACACGGGCUUUGUUAAUACAGAGGAUGAUCGGAACAUCAAUCAGCAAUGAGUGAAUGACAGAAUUCAUCUGAAAUAGAAUAGAGAAAGUAUUAAGACAUGCAUUUAGAAAUUAAUAACUAGAAUAUCAUAUUACUUACUUGAAGAUGACAAAGGCAGGGGGGUGGAAAAAAAACCACAGAGAAUAAUUCGCUCCCAGGGAUGACUGUGAGCCACCAAUCUGAUAUGGAGAAGCAAACACAAUCCUAGAAGGUACAGGUUCACUCAUGUUCGAGGAAGAUUAGCAGGUACAGAGAAGGGCAUUGAGGAUGAUCAGAGGGUUUGGAACAAGAGGAGACUAGAAGAGUUUCAUUUGUUUAGUUUUUCAAAACAAAGGCUAGAGGAGAUAGGAUUGUUUUCAGUAAAUAUAUCUGAUAGGUAAAGAUCAGAGAAAAAAGAGAAUUGUUUAAACUACAUUAUGAUGCUGGCACAAGAACAAAUGAUAUUAAGGCUGAAAAUUUUAAAUGAAGUGCUGGGACAACCUGCCAAAAAGCACGAUAUGAUGUAAUUGAAUGUAACAGUAGGAGGCUGGAUCAGUAAUCCAGAGCCCUGUGUUCCUAGAUAACUUCUUUUUUGGGAAGGGAAUUAGCCACAGCAGCUAAAUGCAGGGAAUGGAAAGAACAGCCCGGACCAACACCACAAAGGUGUUCCCAGUGAUGGAGCAGUGCGGUGUGUGGUGCCUAUAUGGAGUGGUUUCUUUCUUAGUAAGAAGACCAGGCCGCAGUGUGUGCUGCUGUACAGCUAAGUGCCAGCUGUACCAGAAAAGCAGUGUCACUAAAACAUUUCGCUGUGGGUUUGAGCUCUUGCUUUUUACCCACAGUGUGACCGUCUUUCACCUCCCAAACCUAAAUAUACAUGGCUGAAAGCACACCUUCAGGAAUGGCUGUCCCAGCACUGCCAGUGGCUCGCAGGCUGUGCAGAGGCUGGAAGCAGGCAGUGUGCUCGGCUCCCCGCUCUGUCCCCUGGAGCUUUCCUUUUCUGAUGCCCUGUUAGGCAGAAUGCCCACUCACGGGGAAUACUGCUGUACCUCUUUGAAGAGAAGCAGUAAAAAGGCUUUUGGCAAAGCGGCCUCUAACCAGCACCUCUUAAAUGAAGCUGGCUGACAUACACGCGUGCUGCAGUGAUGCCCCUGCAGUGGGAAGAGCCCCCUGACCUCAGGGCACGGGACCUGCUGGUCCUGCAGCCCCUCUGGAGCAGGGGCUGAGCAGCAGCUGGUGCCGGGGGCUGGGGCUGCUCUGCUCUCCCACAGGUCUGCACCAGGUGCCCCACGCUGCUCAUCCGAGGGCAAGAAAAUGCAGCUGGCCAGAGUCCUUGGGUUUGGAAGCAGCCCCACCAGCUAACAGGAGGGCCUUCCCUUUUCCUCCCCCCAAGAGAACUGGCAAAUUCAGCUCUUCAAUGGCACGAGCUCAUCUCAGCCUUGCCUAUAAAUAGAUAAAUGAGAUUCCUCCAGUCCCAGUGAGCAAUUCUGACAUCCUCCCUUUGCCUCGCAGAGAGCUGAGUCACAGGCACUCUGCACUCCAGUCCCUGCAUUACUUACAUGGUCUCAAAGGAAAUUUUAACACAUCCAAUGAAUCAUCAGGGAUUGGAUCAUGUUUAAAGUUAUUCCAGUGGCAUUUCCCUUCUAUUGUAGCAAGUCUGCCAACACCUAAAACUUUAGCUAAUCUGGACUCAAAAUGCAUUGAGGAAAUAGCAUGUUGACAUACACAGCUACUAAUACAAAUAACUUAAAAAGUUCUCUUAAAUCUGCAUCAACAAAUAAAUGACCCUUAGUGGGUUCCUUUAGCACUUCGGUCCUGCUAAUUUUGUCAGACUGCUUUGUUUUGUAGCUGCUUAUUUAAAAGAACUCAAAAGUUGGAAAUGUUUUAAUAUUCAGUCUUUAGGUCCCUAAUUUAAUCUCCUGCAGGUUUCCUGCCAAAGUAUUAUUUGCACUGAGAUGGAGCUUGCAGCCCUGUGCUCGGCCUUUCACAGAAAUGCACAUGUUCCUGUUCUUACCCACGAUAAAAAUAAAAUGCCUGCAAAGCAAGGACAAAACCAGAGUGGUGUUAAGUAUAAAACACACAGAGUUAUCUGCCGGCUGCACGAGGCUCUGAGCUCCAGCAUGAAGCUGUAUCUCCUGAUGGGGCACUGGCACUUGUUACCCUUCCUUCUCCCACCCGGGACAGUGUAGUCUGAUUGGCUUAAAGCAACACAGCAUCUGCAAUCAGAGGAGGUCUCCUUCUGCCUCAGAAACAACUGAAGAGUGCAAAACUCUCCAGCAGAAUUUGGGAGCUGUGAAACAAAUAGAAACACAUUUCUCUCUGUUGGUUUUCUGGCUUGCCUUGCUGUAUCUUAGAACUUGUUGGGACUUUCCACUCAUCCAGAAUCCGGUUACCAGACUCUCCAUUUGAAUGAACAAGAAAUGCUAACAUUGGCUGGCUUGCUGCUGUGCUUUAGUACUCUGAGACCUGAAACCUGGCUGGUUCUUUUGAUAACCCUAGGAAUGCUGUGUCUUAUUCAAAUCACAUCUUUCUAACACCUUUUCAUAAAGCAACUCUCUGCCUGUGUGUAGACUGUUAACAAGCAUUUGUGCAACACAUUCCAGCAUGAGCUGCAGUCUCUCCAUGAGAUGAUGUGGCUCCUACACUGAGGCUCACUGGUUUAUUUAUCAGCUUAGCACAGCACAGCUUUGCUUGACAGUGUUCUGCCAGCUGUUACUAUACAAUAGCACUGGGAAAGAAGAUCAGUUUUGGCUCUCAGUGGAAUUGGCCAUAAUUCAGCUACCUGUUGACAAAUUAUGAUUUAUUUAACAGCAUAAACUGUAAUAUUUGUAUAGCUGAUAGUUUUCACCCUUCCCUGCAGCUGGAAAAAAAAAAAAAAAAAAAAAGAAGAGGAACUCCCAGAAGUUCCUCACUUGAAACUGAAGUUUGAUUGUAGUAACGCCUUGUACUGCUGUUUCUGUGCAGGAAAAAUGACAUCUCUAAUGGACAAAUCAGUGGUGUCUGUGUGAUGCUGGAAGAGGGCAGGUGCGUUGAUAGGGAUCACACAGCUUCUUGCUUGGCCUCCUUCCUGCAGCAGUAAUCUUUGCCAUGUAGUGAAGGGAUGGAGGAUGGCUGGUGGGGCCUCCCGAGUGGGGCUGUGCUCUGAGCUGCCAUGGGGACAAGGUGCAGUCCAGGCCUCCAAGUUCCCCGUAAUGCAGCAUGCAGGAUGUGACCUCAGGAGUGCUGGGGGUCCUGCUAAGGAGAGCCGCCUUCACAGAAGGCAAACGAGGUAAGUCAAAAAAAAAGGGGCUUUAGAAUAAUUGUGUAGAUGGCCUUGUUCCACCUGCAGCAGUGAGCUUAGUGUAACUUCUCAGCCCGCACUCCUGCCUGUGCUGGGAGUGGGACAGUGGUGUGGCUGCACCAGGUUGGUAAGGGCUACUUCCAUGUACUGCAUGCUUCCGAAAUAGGGGCCAGUAAUUCAAGCCAAAUGACACAGCAGAUCCACAACAUAAAAAACAACAAUUAACCUACCAAUUUUUGCUCAUGCCUUUAAAAUACGCUCCGCCAAACUGUACUUCAUGACUAUCUCUCAGGAGGGCCAGAUUCUGUAGGACAUGUCCUCAGCUUGCAGAAAGAGAUCAUUAAUCAUUAGUGUGCCCUGGUCCCUGGCUAUUUUAAUCACUGGUGAAAUACUCAUGCAGUUCCCACUCCUAAAAAUGGUAUUUGACUCCAAUGCACAUGAUUUCCUUUGGCUUCCUUUCCCCAUUUAAGAGCAAGCCAUAACAGCCUGGAAGUACAAGCACUGGAAUCCGUAGAUUUGCUUCUCAUUCGCCACAGAGCCAAAGCUUGGUACUGCAGGUAGCAUCUGUGCUGACCAAAAGAUCAGAAUAUAUUGUGACUGGCUGUCUGUGACAGCCCUUCUGCCUACAGACUGAUGGUCAAACCCUGUCCUUUGUCUGUGUGCUUGAGACUCGUGACAUCUAUUCAUUUUGCUGAGGUUUUAUUUUGUUUUCUUUGUCUUUAUAGAGAACCAAAUCUCAACCAGUACCAACUGGGCCCCAGAACAGAGUCCUGCUCUUGGGAAGGCUGUCCUGGUUGUCCCACCAAUUCUCUUAAUUAAACUUGAUUGACUCUGGCCUAAUUAAAAAGACACAGACCAGCAGUAAUCUGCUAAAACUAAAGGUUGCUUGGCAGCUUGGAUUUCUAGUUUUGCUGAAAGUAGUUUAAAACAUGAAGAAAGUUUGCCUUAAUUACCAUAUUUCCUCCAUGAAACAGCUAUUCAUCGAAAACUACAGCCAAGUACCAAAGGGCUCCAGUGAAAGAAGGCACCAAAUUUGCCUGCAAAAUGUUAUUUCCUGCACUGGUCUAAUUCAGAUCAUGUGGCUGACAUGCAAUUUCUAUUUGACUGAAAGCACCACAUUAAAUUAUUCCAGGCAGAUGUUGUGCACUGAAAGCAGUCGAUAACAUCACAGGGCAAUUCAGAAAGGCCCUGUGCAGCCAGAGACUCCUUGCAGCCUGGAACAUGGGUGCUUGAAAGAUGCUGGUGCAAUUGCUUUGAUGUGCAAAGAAAUAUGAACAGUGGCUCAAGCUUAGUACAUCUUCUGCUAUCCAUGCAGAAUUAUCUGCAUGCCAGAAGGGGAUGCUUUGUUUUGGCAAGGUCUAUUGAAAUGUUCAUACUACUUACUUAGCAUAUGCCAGGGAUGGCAACUUCAAGAAGUCCAGGGCAGCACUUAAGCAGAGUAGAAGUGGAUGGCAUCACUUGAGACUGACUGAAAAAAUCAUGAUUGCCUGUGUAUACUUUUCAAAACACAUUUAUUAUAGGAAUUUCUGCAUUUUUCCAAGCCAGACUGGAGGUGCUAAAUGACAGUGAAGUUUCAAAAGGAACAGCCAAAUUUGUCCUUGAAAUCGUAAUGCUUUGGCCUGGGCACACAGAAUUGGACUCACAGGUCUGCCCAGAAUGCCCUGCAGUGAAAUGGAGCAGGAAUCCCACCUGCAGGGCAUGCAGGAGCCCUCCUGCCUGCCAGCCCCUGGCCAAGUACCAAGUGUCCCCACAGGGCUCUGCACCUGCCCUCCACUCCAAGGCUAUUGGAGGGGUGUGUGACUGGGAGAGCUGUUUUGAGAACAGAUAGGAUAAAAAUAACACCAACUCUUCUUGCUCUCCUAUUCACCACAUGCAGUCACAUAUAUGAAGGGCUUCUUCCACAGAGAUGCAUAAGCAGGAAAUUGUGGCUUACCAGAAGGUAGAAGACACAAGGUUAUAAAGCACUGGUAGAGUUUGUCAGACAUUUAUAUAGGCAGAGUUCCCAUAGCACAUGAGAGAAAGAUCCACUCAUCCAUGCACCGGCUUCAGGACGGGCUGCAGGAUUGCUCUGUGUGCAUCCCCUGCAUUCGGAGGGCCCCUUCUGACCUCCACAUCCACCACUUGGCUCUCUCCAUGGGUCAGAGCUGUGAUAGGAAGAAGGUGGGCAGGCUCAAUCCAGUAUCACAAAGCAAAAAGGGGUUUAUUUUAGCAUAUAAAUAUUCUUACUUUGAGUAUGAUGUGAAUACUAAAGAUAAAAAUUGUAACGUAGGAACAAAAACCCCUUCUGGAUCUUCCUGUUUCCGGUACUAAGAGUCGGUGGUUGUUCUCCAUCCUGGUAGUAGUGGAGCUGCUUCUGUUUAUUCCAUCGGUAGAUAAUGGGUUAAAAGCAGAUCAAUUCCAGCCACACCGGGGGAAACAUUCAAUUCCUUCCAUCUUGUUUCGGUAUCAGGUGAAGACACUGCACUGGCUAAAUGAGGAAACAGUCUGCGGCUUCGUACGCAGGGCCAGUCUCAGAAAUCAAAGGCAUCAAAGCAGAAAGUCCUGAACCAAACCACUCCAAAAGCAGCGGCCUGCAAGGCAGCCCUGAGCAGCACGGGUUUCUUUGCUCCCAGCCCAUCCAUAGCUGACAGAAGGGUGCCUUUCUUGUGCCCUUUACCUCCCUUACCUAGUCACACAGCCGCUGGGACCAGGAUUGGCUUUUAGGGCUUGCUUACACAGAGCAGUUGACUAUUCUGCAAUAGCUGCUGCAGGAUGACUUCAUGUGAACGCGCUCAUUCCGCAGCGGCUGUUGGAGCUCCUGAUUCAUACCAUACCUUAACUGGAGUCGCGUCAGCAAGUCAGCGUGCAUUACAAAGUUAAGCAAGACCUGGGACCCAGUCUGGGGUUUCUAGUCACUUCUCCUUUACAUAGAAUUCAGCUCUAACAGAAGCAGUUGAAAUGUUCCUGAGAAUGACAAAUAACAAAUGAGUAAUUCUUGCUCCAGAGCCACGUAGCCCAAUUAAAAAUAGGUAAGUGAUGUGCAAAGGCAAGUCUGUGCAGUCCGGGGAGAGAGAAGGGAAAAAAAGAAAAAUAGGCAUGCAUUUCUAAUCUAUUGGCACAGCCACGUGAAGCAGAAUUCAUUGAUAAACAUACCAAUUAAUUGGUACACAAAGCCCUUUCAAAAAGGUAAUGACUAAAGCAACCAGACGCUGGGAAAAGGACAGUUACUGUUGUGGAGCCAGCUUAAUUUGGUUAUCCAUCUCCCUUGGUAGAGUUAUUAAAGGGGGAAAAGCUUUGAACACUGUUGUAGGGUUCAGUGAAAAUAAAAACGCAACACAUACAAGCUCUCAGAAAUGCAAACAAGGUGUUAGAAUGCAUGAUGGAGGAUAAUUGAAUAUUACAGUUCUGUUUAACAAAUUGCUUCUCUUUGUGCAAUUACUGCAUCUCCGUCUGCCCUAAGCAGGAAAGAAGCUCAGAAUGAGGCGAUGGGGAUGAGCAGAGAGCUGCGAUGACUGAGAGCAGUUCAGCAGGAAGAGGAGGAAAGCAGGGAGUUAGCAAGGAGAGGGCAGUUCCCAGCGUAAUGAAAGGCAUUAAGUCUAAAACCACCAACGCUUUCCCAAACAUGAAAAUUGAAUACUGAGAGAGAAAAGAAAAAAAAAAAAAAAAAAAAGAAAGAAAUGCAGAUGCAAUAAUGUAAGAAGCUAGCACACAUCACUGUCCUGGAAUCUGAGAAAACAAGCUUUUUAAAUACUUCUGACUGAAAGCAUUUAUGGCAGCGCAGCCCUGGGAUGUUAGAGGAAAGGACAUGAGCAGGAGCAUUGCAGGAUGGAGCCCUUCUGUCGGCAGGCACACAGCUGUGCAGGACAGGGGCGCAGUGACAGGCAGGCGCUGCCUGGUGGGGCAGUCGGUGCUCCCUGCUGCCCAGCACGCUGGUGAUGCUGCACGGCCACCUUCCCACAUCCCGUGACUGUCCUGCAACCAGUGGAGUAAUUUCUAAUGCUAAGUAAAGGACCGGUGGCUCGGGGUGCACCCCCCCCUGCUCCCCAACACCUUGCUCUUAACCAGCCACGCUCCUGCUGGAGUGCUGCGGUCAGGGGUCGUGUCUCCAGGGUUGGUUUGAGAACGUCUCUGGCUGCAUUUUGAUGUGAUAGCCAGAAAUGAGAGACAGAUACAAGAGGGAGGGAAAGUGCUUGGUUUCUUUCAUUUCUCUCACUUUGCCUUCCAGUUCUCAUGCCCUGAGAUUCAUGCAACAGUGCACUCUCCAUACCACAAUUAACAGUGAAUCUUUUCCAAUCCACUCUGACAGAAACUCCUCCCCCAGCCUGUAACACCACUCCAGCUUGCAAGCAAGCCUUCCCAAAGGCAGACCUGCCCUACCGUGCUCGCCCUGCGCCCAGCACUCGUGCUUACCUUCCAGGCCUCCCUGUGCCGGAGGUCACAGUUGACCAUUGCAAGAACAAUAAGGAUUUUUAGGGGCAUUAUGACUGGGUUAGUAAAACACAGCUGCCCCUGAAAGUCCCUCAUUUUUCUUGCUGCCGCUCAGUCCCCUCCACGUCCCUAGGAGGGCAGAGGUCUGAUGGGCUCCUUUCGCUCCAGCAUGGCUCUGCCACCUCAUGCUGGCUUUGCUGAUCUGCCAGCAGCAGCCCAGCCGUGCUGACCGGCCGUGACACAGGCAGUGGAGGUCCAGAACUGCUUUGUCAUCACUGCAGGCUCCCUCCUAAGCAAACGCUGCGCUGCACUUCAGCAUAACGCCAGAUGGCUCGUCUGUCACUCGGCAGAAAUGCCAUCAGACAGAGCGCACCUCACCGUAAGCAACCCUCAAACGCCCCCCAAAUCACCAGGGCAAAAUGAAGCAAUGGCCUGUCCUGCCAGCACUCAGUGCACCGCACUUUGCCCAUUAAACACAGGGAUCCCAGCGCCGGUGAGCACCUGCUGUGUGUGCACUGUGACGCAGCCCCGCGGCGGUGGGAGGGGGUCACAGCGCCCGCCCAGCUGCACGAGCAGUUGUUCUUGAUUUAUUAAUAAAGCUGGGGGUUCAAUUAGGUAAUUGCCACUGAUUUCUCAACCGCUUUCAGUUUAUGAGAUUUUUAAGAGCUAUAUUUUUCCUACUAAAAAGGUGCCAAGUGGUUGGCUGGGAAUUUUCAACCUCAUUUACAAAUCCUCUUGGAAUUCCCAGCCCAACCCAGCAUGUUCAUAGGGCAAGGAGCAGCACUUUUCUUUUAACUCCUUGGUAAUUUGAAUGUUGAUGGCAGUGGACUCAACAAAAUCCAUAGGCAGAUUCCCAUGGGUGCUCCUGCCCUGCUGUUUCCCUGAGCUCGCUGUGGGGUGCUGGAUGGGCACACCAGCCCCAUGCAUGCUGUGGGAAGCCCCGUGGGCUGGGCAAGCACUCUGCCCUUGAGGACAGAGCUCUGGGAGCUGCUCUGGGGCUCCCGGGGCCUUUGGAGCAGAGCAGGGAACCACUGAGGACUCGCAGCACUAUUUUUUUUCUCCCCCUCUUGCAUUAAAAAUGCCCUGCCCCUCAACGAAGAACCCAUUCCCAGCAGUUACAGGUUAGGACAAACACGACACUGUCUCCAUAACCCACAAAGUGUGCUACGAGCAGCCAUCUCACACGGCUCGGGUGCCCCUGUCCGGGGCAGGCCCAGGCGCUCUGCAGGGCUCACUUGCGCUGUGUUACAUCCAGCCUCAGAACAAUGGGGCUGAGCUGCAGAGCUGCGCCGUGUUUGGAGUUGCUGCCGUUCAAACAUGCCAUCUCCAGGGACACGGACGGGGCCGGCGCAGCUGUUCUGCAUGCAAUGGGAAUGCUGAGGUUCGGGCAGCCCAAGGUCCCGGCCACGUGCAGCACAAGAUGAAUGUCCUCACCUGUCUCACCAGCGAAUGAUGCUCCAUGGCAGCAGCCAGCCUGGCACACAGCAAAUGCCUCAGCCCCUCUCAUUGCUGUACGAAGCCACACCUAAUUUUCAUUUAGAAUUUCUUCUAACGCUGGGAAGUUAAAUGAAAGCAACCAUUAUGCCCUGAUUUGGUAAUAAAACACGAGCUGUGAUUCUGAUCCAAACAUUAUUUGCAUCUUUAAAAAAAUAGAAAUGUAACAGCAGUAUCUUAAUAAAAAAAAAAAAGGAGGAGCCCCCUGAAUGCUGAUGACGUUGGUGUCCUAAAUGAAGCAUAAAAGCCAGAUCCUGUGAGAUGCAAAGCAUGAGUCAGAGUGUCAGCAGCCCCACACUGCAAGCAGCGCUGCUGCUUCAUUCGUUUAAGGAAUCAAUUCCUUUGCCAUGAGCACCAAGUAGUUUCUACGACUAAAAUUAAAAUGAGAUGCGUGCCGUUAUUAUUUUCAAAAGGUUCUUUUCUUUUUUCCUCUUGGAAUGACAACAAACAGCUCUCUGUAGUUGGAAGGAACCCCAGGUAAGGACCAGGUCCCCGCAGCACUGCUGUUGCGCUGACUCAGAAGACAACCCGGUGAGACCCUGCAGGGAACCUCCCCAGCAGCACAAGCAGAUGGAGCUCACCAGGGCAGAGCACAGCAGGCAGGUGGACUCACCGCAGAUUUCAGCCCGGUUAGGCUCUCUCACCCUGAUUUUGUUUUACUUGCACUGGGUAGCUGGCAGACUCCUGCAGGAUGGAUGUGUCCCGCCCUGGGGAACCCCCCUUUGUGGAGGGUUUACGUGUUCCUUCUUGAGCUGGAAAAGCAGCACACGGCUCCGUGUGCCACACAGGGACGUGCUGCUCCUGCUGCCACAGGAGCACGGCCAGACUUCAGCAUCAGAGCACGAGUCCCUGGGUUACAGUGAGGUCAGGGGGAGGAUUUGGGACUGACGGCUUUUUGGCCUGUUAGAUUUGAAAUUCAUAAAGCACGAGAACAGCACAGAAAGAAACCAAAGGUAGGAAGUGAAUGCAGUUUCUACAAUUCCUCCAGCUUUAGUCAUUGAAGAGGAUUGUUAGAAACGCACAAAGGGCCGUUUCCCUCAAUUUUUUCAGUGUGAAUUUCAUCUUGACAGUUUCAUUUCAGAAACAAAAAUUGAAAACAAAUUGUGCUAUACACAAAACAAAGGGGCAGAUCCUCAUCUGGAAUAGACUGGUAUUACCAAAUGAGUAACACCCGCUCACAGCAGAGGCUCUGGCCCUUGUGACAGCGGCUGCCUGCUGCCAUCCUGCUCUGCCCGGCCAACAGCCUCAGCCUCUGGUUUCAGCUGGCCGCAGAGCUGACUCCAGGUAGCCUGCUGGAGACAAAGAGCUGCCUUCAGAGCUGCUGAGUGUGCACAGUGCUUCAGGGACCCCGUGUGCACCCUGCUCUCCAGAAGUGGGGCUGUUUCCAGGUGGGCGAGCCAGAGGACGCAGCACCGAGAAAGCAGCCGAUGCCAGCAGGGCCCUGAAAGUAAUGAGCUGCUGUGGAGAAAUACUGGCAAAGCAGGCUUCCAGAAUCCAGUUAUUUAUGGGAUUUACUCUCUGAAAAGAAGCAUUUCUCAGAUUUUUCUUUCAAAACCAACACUGGGCUGAUCAUCAUCUUGAAAAUUAGCAGAGGUCCCCAAGAAAAUAUUAACUGCAGCGCAAGACAACGAAUGCAUGCCUGAAUGUGGUCUGAUCUAUGCCAAACAAGACCUGCCCCAAGAGAGACUGGCACAGCACAACUGUGCCUGGCAUUUGGGAAAUCCCUUCAGCCACAAAUGAGUUACUAAUAGGGCAUAAUUAGCUUUGGGUCCUGCCACCACAGUCUCACUCUGAUCGGGCUGUCCUUUGUGCAAGCCCAAGCGUGCUCUAGAAGUCACCACGCCAGCUGGGUUCAUUGCUUCUCUCACCCGAAAGGAAACAAAAUUACACACAUUGGUUAAAUUCAGGAAGCUUCUCACUUUGCCAGUUAUCAGAAGACAUACUGACUGCUGCUGUCUUCAGUGGCAGCCCGGCUUCCAAGCAGAACAUCAGGCUCUCUGUCCUCAUUGUGCUGAGACACUGAAACGAACACACAGCCGUGCACUGGUGGAGGAGCACCCAUCUCCCAGGGCUGACAAGGGGUGGUUUUGGCCAUAGGCAUUUUACAAUUCAUUUCCUUUGAAUUCUUUUGUUUGGAGCAUCAUUUCUCAGCUCUUACACCUCUGCCACCAUCAGCAAGAGCUGGGAAGCCAGAGUUAUUUUUAGGGGAUGGUACAUUUAGGCCCUGUUAAUCUUGACUGGUCCCUUUGAAAAUGACAACGUUGGAUAAUCAAACACAUUACACAGAGUUUCCAUGGAGCCUGCUUGGAAAACUACCCUCCCACCUUUCAGCAACGGAGGGGCCAAUAGUUCAGAUAGCAGCAUUUAAUACUGCGUCAACUUUCCUCAUUACCGUGACCUCCCUAGCAUUUAUAUGCAGAGACCUCCCAGAAGAAGGAAAUUAUGGCACCUAACUGACUUUAAGUAUAUAAAAUAGAACAAUUAGUCAUCAAAAUGUCUUCUAGAAGCUCCAUACUAUACCCAUCCCAAGCAGCAAAAGACCAUUAUCCAGCUCAGCCUGGCACAGAAGAGGAUGACAGCAAUGCCUGGUCAAAUGGUGUGGUCAAACAAACAUGUUGGCAAAACAAUCCCAGAGCAACGGGGAAGGAGCUGCUGGUGUGAAGGCGAAUGCAUUAAAGUGGUUGGCACAAGGAAAGGGACGGGAAGGGAGAAUGCUAGGAAAAAACUCCAGGGGAGGAGCUCUGGCUAAAAGAGGCUACAUGACUGCUAGUAAAUUAAACAGUGCAGGGACCAGCCAGUCUGCAAUCACCUAGCCACCAACACAGGGCAGUCGCAUCCAAACAGCCUGUUAGUAAUGGUCCCUGGCCCACACAGACUUUCACAUCAUAUCCAGGGCUGGCUGGAAAAGUCCCAGGCCAAAGCUCUGCCCAGGACCACACCAAGCACACGGCCAUGAGCUUUGCAGUGGCCCACGGGUACAGCCACGCAGCACAGCAGCGCAGGCGUCUCAUUGCAGCACUGCACACAUACCUGCUGGGUCCCAGCUGAGGGCAUCACUGCAGAUCUGCACCUGGACUGAUCAUCUACAGGAGAGGCAGAGGUGUGCUGUGGUCAUCAACCCACCAGCACUGCCUCCAAUUCGGAAUCUACCUGCACUCUGACCAGUAAGUUAGGAGAGAAGCAGCCAGGCAAGCUUGGCUUUGUUGGAGCAGAAUCAAGUCUGGCUGGUAUUAAGGAAAGCAAAGCGUUACAGGAGAACAGCAGGAAAUUGCUAAGAGAAAGGGAUUUUUAAAUAACUUCAUUUUAAACAAAACUAGGGAAUUACCAUAAAAUAAAUGGCCACACCUUGCUACUCACACUGUUCUGCCAACAAGACUAGCUUUUCCAUAGCUAUUCAAAUAUGAGACCUGGGUGCCUAACCAGCUCUCUCAAGCUGGUUUCCAAACUCCAGCCAAAAAUCACUUUCUGAUUCACCACUUUCUCAGGCACACCAGUAUGCAGAGUACGCCUGCAGGCUGGUACUGUGCUGUACAAAGCACUUAAGCACACAUUUAAUUACACCGUGGACCAGGGAUGUGAUUAAUCAUAUGCUUGAAGUUAAGCAUGUGCUUAAGCAUGCUACUGACCUGGAGCUUGAAGCAGAUCUAUCUGCUACUGUACUGCUCCCCAUUUUCCAGUUCUUUGAGGCUCAAUAAUUGGAAAGGUUGUAAGAACAUCCCUGUGGUUGUGCACUCCUAAGAAUUCAUCCAAACUCUGGUUUCAGACUUUUUUUUAAUGGCAAUUUUUGCAAUUAAAUUGCAUUCUCCCCACGCCCUCCCCAGCACCAAUUAUGGGCAUGACAGCAGUAUGGAUAUUAUUUAUCAGCAUUAAAACAUGAUGCAGUUAUUAUCAUUCACAAACAUUUUCAUUCAGUUGGGCUGGAUGAUCUUGGUGAUCUUUUCCAACCAUACUGAAUCUAUAAUAUUUUAUGCCUGAGGAGUGUACAAAGUUCUCAAAAGAAAUAUGAAGCACAUCACUGCUAGCAGCACUCAUCUCAUGGAAGAACUCAACCAUAAAACACACAUCAGCUAUGGGUGGCCACGUAAACUCACAUUUCAUUAGCUGCAAUGUACGCCAUCCCAGCCAUUUUUCUCACUGCACCACCUGUCCACCUUCCGAGCAAAGCCUUAUUCCUACUUCAUCACAAUUUCAGGGAGCUCAGACUGUCUCCGGUCGCCAGGGAGGAGCAAGCAGAGGAGCAGGGGAGCAGACAGCUCCUCUUCCUAAGGCACAGCUGAGAGCCUCCUCAGUGACAGAGGAAACCACUGCACAGGGACAUGGAGGGAUGGACCAGAGCUGCAUCCUGAGGCAGGCGUGUGAGUGCCAGCUGGAGCGGCCCUGCAUCAGGGAGCACUGUGCCCACGUUCACCCCAUAAAACCAUCUAACACUGACCAGCCAGGAGAUUGCAAUGAAAGCACAGCACGUGCAAAUCCAUUUCCAAUCAGCAAUGGAGAGCAGAGGAGGUUUGAUUACAAAAGAAGAGGCACUGGUCUCUAAAGGAGGUCUCCUUUGAGAAGGAGAAUAGUCCAACCCUGUGUUUGCAGAAGCCUCCUUAGAGCAGUUACGGGACCUUCCUCCUCAUUUGCUAUGUUCCUUUAUUUCAGCUGGACAGAACUUGGCAACAGGAAGCUGAGCUCGUGUUCUUAACAUCACUGAUGUUUUAGAGAACAGGUUAAAGAAACCCAAAUUCACUUGUCACAGACCUGUAAGUCACAGCAACAUCCAGAAAAGCACAACUGCACCACUCGGUGCCUGCUGAGUGCUGCCAGCACACCUUGUCGGAGGAGCAGCUUCAUAAACACAAUUUUUAGGGUCCUUUCCAUGGACAGCCUGAGGUUGGUAUUUUCCCUUAGGCCCCACAGACUGAGGGACGUUGCAUAUUGCAAGCAGGGGCACCAGGACCAGCUGGCAGCAAAGUGCUGAGUGUGGAAACCCUCUGCCUCCCACUGACCACCCCCUGCUGCUCCUCAUUAGCUGCCAGCUCAGACACCAUGGCGGUGUACUCAUUUUUAUUUUCAGCUCUUUUCCUGCCUGGCCGUCAGCUCAGCAGUGCUGCUUACACUCAAAGCUGUGCCUAGAAUAGUGAAGUUGAGGGGAAUUUCACCUAAAAAAACCCCAAGUAUUUGGCCAUCCCUUCAUUGAUCAGAAGUCAUUGUGGUGGGAGAUCAUUUCUGGAAGCCGAAUUGGGAUAUAUUCCAUUUCUUUCAUCCAAACUAAGGUACUCCCUUCCACAUGUAGGUUUACUCAAGGAGAAGACGAUGGAGCAGAGGAAGAGCGUAUCACUGCCCUGCAGCAGUCUGUGCAGCACCAACUACGGCUGCAGCCAACCUCCAUGCCCUGCACAGCCCACCGUGCUCACAGCAGCCUUGCUGUAUGUAUUUUUAAGCACUCAAACCUGUGCUUGCUGCUUGCAUGCAACCGCUCAUAACUCAGCAGUGGUGUCUAACAAGGUUGGCUAGCUAGUUACAGCAUAUUUCUAUUUGGAAAAUGCACUUUGAAGUUCAAAAAGGGGUAAAGUUCAACAAGUUGCAGACUUUGCAAAGGCUCCUUUCUGAACGCACUGCUGUGAAGCGAUGAAAGCUCUCACGGCUGCUCAUCCACAAUCACUGCCAGCCCCCGAACUGACAGCACGGGGCAAACCCUGCCGGGGCACCCACAGCUCCCCGGAGAUGUUUCAGGGCAUAACUGCUGUGUCAAUGGAGCUCUGUGCUCUCAUCCUGCGACACAACCAACCUCCAAUCCCAAUUUAUAUUAUAGGCUUAAAUUCCUAUCAGAUGCUUUGAAACAAAACCGCAGUUUGUGGGUUUGUUUUUUAAGGCAGUAAUGUCUUAAACUAUAAAGACAUCCAAAACUUUAUGUAACGACCAUUACAUAACACCUCAAACUGGCUCUUAAGCAUUUUCCUUACUCUUUGGAGUUCUUACACUUUUAUUUGGGGCAUGUGAGACAACGAGUUAUACAAGUGCAGUUACUCACAUGGGCCGUGUUUGGAGGGAGCGACGGAGAAGAGCUCUCUGCGGUGGAAAUCUUAAAGGGAGAAGCUUCUUUCUAUGUAAAGAAGUUUGCAAGACACAGAAAAAGCAUUCUCUCGUUGAGUUUCACUGCUCUUAAUGAUCAGUUACAGAAACUGAGAACCCAGGAAGCAGGGCAGAGAUAGUGCUAGCUUUAAAGUCUGAAUGCAUGCAGAGCCUCCAAUGGCACACAGCAUGAAUGUCAUAAAUGUGUGUGAAUGUUCUCAUUCAGGCUGUGAUUUACUCCCCAAGGAGAUGCACAGCUAGCUGAAAUAUGCUACAUGCAAACCAAACCCUUCCAAUGAAGUGAGUGCAGUAUGUGAAUCCUGGAGCUAAAUUUAACACAGCUCUCAUCUCAGCAGAGCUCCCAGCAUUGCAGCUAACGCUGCAGCUCACACGGGCAGAGCUGUGCCGGAGUUCUGCUCCUUCGGUCCACUGCUCUGGAUGAUGUUCCUGAAGCUCCUCACUAACUCAGAUUUAAGAAAUUCAGGGUGAUUUAUUCAGCUGAAUUUUGUCUGUGAAACAAUGGCGCUGAAAACAAGUCAAUCUAAGUUGCUUUUAAAAUGCAGACUCAAACUGGUUUGGGCCCCAUGCAACUCCUGUGAAACAGACACUCCUUAUAUAUUAAAAUACCUUUAAGUGUAUUGCUGAAUAAUCCACGACACUGAAAAAAAUCCUGUAUACCAUAAAUAUCUGAUUACAUUUUUCCAGUCAUUGCAUUAUUUGUUUGGUUUUAUGGUCAAAGGCAAAUUAAAGUGAACUGGGCAAGCUUGGUCGUGAUUAAGCUCCUUCCUCGCUGCUUCUUGCUCUGCAGAACGGCUGUAUUUGCAUAGGAAUAUUCUCCUCCUCCAGAAACAUUUCUUUCCAAAUUAACAAACGAAGUCACAAUUAUACAAAAUAUUGUUGUAGCCAAAGCAGAUUUUGCAAUUUAAAACAUUUUAAAUGCAACCCAGACUUUGAAUCUACUUUCCUAAGUACCCUUCAAGUGUAAAAUACACCCACAGCAGUCCGACUGAGGAAUCUGUACCUUCCAUGAAAUAACAAAACAGCACAAACAGUUUAAAAUCUAGCACGUUUUAACUGAACUCCAUUCAAAUUCUUCCUUAUGAAACAAUCUCUCUUUUCAUGCAAUACUUUUCCUGCAGAUUCUGGCUCCAAACUCACACAUCACUUUGCUACAACCCGUUCUGCAGUGCUGACUGCCCGCCGGGUCCCACCGCCCCCAAUUUGUUCAUCUUUUAAUCAGAAGGAAUUCCUGCCCACCUCUCAGCAUUUCUCUCUAUAAGCUCUUAAUUCAUUUUCCAGCAUUGGUAGCUUGCUGCUCGCUCCACCCUCUCAAAUAUCAGCAAUCACUGCCGCUCUUAAAGAGAACUCUGUUUUGGGGAAACGUGAUAUUAUUCCAGAUGUUUCAGCUAUGGCUGCUCUGCCCAACCCGGCCUGGUCAGUGCUCUGCCACGAAGCUCAGCAUCAAACAGCUUCUGGGUUUUAUUUCUUAAACUCCUGCACUGCUGUAUGGGAACGUAGCCCUCCUGGCAGCAAAGCACGCCGAGCCCUGCACUGCACAGAGCAACAGAGGCGCUCCUGAAGAGCUCUGCAUUUCGUCCCAGAAGCACAAAAGCACAGCUCAGUUGGGCACAUCACCAGCCCAGUGGCUAUCAGCUCCUGCAAGCUGCUGGUUCAAUUUAAUUUCAGCGCUUCAGACCACAUUUCUGACAGUAUUUUACGAGUUACCAGGCAAAGAGAGAUUGCUGAAUGAAAUCUGCUUUCUAAUUUUACAGUUUGAGGAAAUUCUAUGCCUACCAUUGCAAAAAAAAAAAAAAAAAGAAGCAAAGUGCACAUUGAGAAAUUGGAAGCAGCAGUAAGCAGCGGUGACACCACUUCACUGCAUGGAGGUUCCAGCAGGAGAAGGGUGGAGCGAGGAGCAGCCCCGGCCCUGCUGUGAUGGGCAGCAUUUGUGCAACAAAGCGAGGGCAGACAGCAGUGUGCCAUGGGCUGCCAGACCGCAGGGGAACACAGCUGCCUGAGCAAGGCUGCAGAUCCUUGGUGAGAUGGGAUGUCAUACAGUUAAGGUAAUGUUAAUGAAUGGCAGCACUAGCAGGCAUGGCCAAGAUUCCAAUCCCAGACCUGUAAGCGGUGUCACUAAUCUGCACUGGAAAAAUACUCCAAUCCUGCACGAUGCCAUGCAAUGUGAGCACACCACGCACCCACAGGGACUUGCAGGACGCUGGGAAAAACUUUCUGUCCGAAGAGAGGAAGAACAGAGGUCCACUGCUGCCACGGAUAGGAAAAAACCAACAACCCAAUCCUCCAGAGCUGAAAGGCCACCAGGAUCCACGUAAAAUCCAGGAAAUCUAUACAAAGCCAUAGCUACUGAGCAAUGCCUCGGAAGUACUUUCAUUAUUUAGUGCUAAAGCAAUAUGCUGUUAACCUGCAGUCCAUCGGCUGAAGCCCUGGAAGGCUGUGCCCUGCAGCCCUGGAGGCACUCCUGCUUCUCCUCUCCCCUUUGAGACAUCACUUUUGGGUCCCCAGGAAGGGAAGCGAUGAAGCCAGCAGGCGCUGGAAGGCUUUUCUCAAGCAGGCCAGCAGUGGGAAGGGAAAAGUGCGCUCCCAUCAGCUGGCCUGCCCCUGUGUAAGGAAGGACCAGCCUGCAGUAGGGCUGGCACUGAGCACGUGGCUUUGCCUUCUGAGGACAGUGCCAAGAACGGGGGGAAAGGGGAGGUCUGUGAGGUGGCUGCUUCAGGCCUACAGAAGUCUGCACACCCAGAGAGCAAGACUGUAACACACGGCCAGGCUGCUGCGAAAGGUCAGACCAAACAACGGGGCUGAUAGCAGGCACAGCCUCCAUCUAACCUUCCCUCCUUGAUCACAUAAACCUGUAAUGCAGAUACUGCGCUCGCCAUGCUCAGUGCCCUUCUGCAACUCCAAAUACAGCCCUGGCUUGAAGGUCUCUAUUUGCAAACAUAGAGGACCAGUGGUUCCUAAACUGCAGGCAAACAUUUGACUUCUCUUGGUCCAAUUCAAAGAAUAUCCUGCACAAACCCCACCCCUCUGCCCAACAACUCAGGCCCUUAAUGCCUAGACAGCUUUCUUUCAGGCCUUAUCACAGAUAAAAUAUGGCCCCUUUUUUGUUGAAGGAGUAGGACUUGCCAAAUAUUUACCAACUCUUUCAGCAGGCUGAAAAUGUCACUCUUGCAGUGUAAUAAACUUCCCCAGAAAGGCCCUGAUAAAUAGAGAGCCUUGCUGUACUGCCCAGAACUAGUUUAUUGUGGCUUAAGAAUUGCCAAGUCUGACGGAUGAAGAAAGCACAUUUGUACACACAGAAACAUUAGCAAGAGAGGCAUAAAGUUUAGAAGUGAAAAUAAAACAAAGUCCCAUUAUUAUUAACUGAGGUGUGGGGGGGAAAAUAAUAGAGCCUGCAUCCCAGAGAGCAGAGCAUGUUACUGAAAGCUCCAGAGCUAAAAGCAGUAAUUUAAGAGCUUGUCCACAACUUGCAGCAGAAGCUCAAACCAUCUUAUUUAGCAUUUGGAAAGUGCUAAAGUGUGGCCUACCCCCAGUCCAGCCUUCAGAGCAACACUAUGCAAAAAUAAAAUAAAAUAGUUUUGCUUUGUAAUCUGACCCACAAAAAGUCAUUUGGGCACGAGGGAAUGCUCUCCUCCAGCCUGGGCUUUAAUUCAGAGGGAAUGUUUAAACAGAGCAGUGUAAAACAGAUGCUGAGAAAUACAUCUGCGUGGCACUGCGUGUUCUUUGGGGCACCAACAGAAGUUGGGAGCUGCUUAUCAAUGUAGCACAUAUGGCUACAAUAGCUGCAAACAGUGCAGGUGAAUGGAGAAAAAUGACAUUCUCAGCAUCACGAAGUCCAUCAGCAGAGUUCUGGCAGCCAUGAAUAACUGCACCCAUGUCAGCUCAAAUGGACGAAUGCUGCUGGGACAGAAAUGUGUCCUUUCACCUUAGCAAAUGCCAUUAGGAGGAAAAAAAAAAAUCCAGAGGCAACUAAAGAGGCAGAACUCAAACAAACAGAUUUAACACAUCCCGAUGUUGGCACUGAGCUCCACAAGCACCACGCUUUGACUGCAUCUUGAAUGAAGGACCCAAACCAAAACACAGCACCUCAGUACCGCCACGCAGCGCUCCAGCACGGAGCUCUGGGGGCUGAACUUGCUUAAAAGCAGGAAGAAAACAAUUACUGCUGGAAAAAAAAAAUAUAUCCACAUUAUGCUAAAGCUGGCAAAAGCUAAACCCAGCAGUUUACCUGGCUUUCCAGAGCAAACCACAAUUAAGAAAGUCUCCUAUGAAAGAGAAAACUCCAGUUCAGCCCACCAGUAUUACAGCCGGGCAGCACCAGCAGCCGCAGCAGCAAUCACUGCUGGGCAGCGAUACCUGAGAAGCUGCACAAGAAGUUGCAAGGAGAGUGCUAAGGAGGCACAGCAACCUCCCCCCCUGCUCCCCCCUUUCACACCAGCAGGUUUUAAUGUUAAUGAUACGGCUCCGUAUGCUUUAAGUAUUUUUACACCAUGCCUGCCGUCCCGUAGCUCUCUCGUUCCAGGGCGGAUGAUUAGAAUCAGAUUUCUGUGAUUUCACUGCAGAUUAAUUUCGUUAAGAGCUGAAGACCCGCGGGGAGGAAGGGCUGCGAGCAGACCGACAGACCCCCCCCGGCAGCGUCCUCUCCAAAAAGGGCAGCAGCAUUUCUGCCUUUCCUCCGUACUUUCGCAUACUUUUCCUUUUUGUGGCCGCGAGGCUGAAAAAAUGGGCGUACGGGGAAAAGAAACGUGCAGAAAUAAAUUCCUUCAAGUUCUGGUUUCAAAGAAAGCUCCCAACCAGCACCAAGAGGAGAAUGGGCCCAAGGCAGCCCUGCUCCCACCAUGCCCACAGCCAACGGCAGCUGGAACUGCACACAGAUCAGCACCGGACACCCAUCCGUGUGCACAGACACACGUCAGAGGGACGGCUAUUAAUACACCUUGUAUGUGCUGUGCUGGACACAGAGGGCCGAGCAGUGGUCUCUAAUACCAUUUACAAACUGUUACUAAUAGCAAAACACAACGUGAAUGUUUUCUAUGGGUAAAGCGUACAGAAUGCAGCACUGAAACUGGGUUUUGUUUGCAAAGCUCUUAUAGGAUCCGAGUGUAAAAGUUGCGUAGGCUCUGUGUGCGCACUCAGGGCAGCACUACAGCAAAGAAAGAAUUCCGCUUAAAACCUUCCUCUGUGCUUUCUGAGCCAUCCCAUCUUCCAUUUGCUUUUAUAGAACAUGGCCACGAGAACCCUGCUGCCAAUUGGCCUUCCUCCUAAUUCUACAGCACUGCUCUCGACUUGACAAGAGAGAAGGGAAGACAUCCAUGGCAAACAAACAAUCACGAGGAGCCGCAAAAUAAUUCUAAGAACCUAAAAUGUAACACAACAUAAUACAGAAGGACACGGAAGCAAUAAAUCCAUGCUAGAGGAGCAAACAGCCAUCCCCACACAUGGCGUUGUAUGCGUAUGGCGCCCAAAAAGGAGCACAAACCAACAGAAUCCACAGAAGUGCAGCAUCAAAACCAAAGGCAAAUCAUGAGGAGCACCCGAAGUGCGAGGGGAAAAAGUAGUGCCAUAAACACGAGGAGUAGCGGAGCCAGGCUGCUCCGUGCUUGUGUGACCACAUCUAUUAAAAGGGGGGAAAAGGGGGGAAAAAAAAAGGAAAACAAAGAAGAGAGGAAAUAAAGAAGAAAACAGACGCGUUUUCUGAAAGUGAAAGCGGUGAGGAUGGCCGCCCUCCCGGCACGGCGUCCCACACGGCCACCGACGGCACCGACCCGACGCGAACGGCCGCGGCCCUCCCGGCGCUGUUCGGAACGCGACGCACUUACGCUCCGCGGAGAACGAACUCCGUCC
rnacentral:lncRNA from 1 species